GGUUAAGCGACUAAGCGUACACGGUGGAUGCCCUGGCAGUCAGAGGCGAUGAAGGACGUGCUAAUCUGCGAUAAGCGUCGGUAAGGUGAUAUGAACCGUUAUAACCGGCGAUUUCCGAAUGGGGAAACCCAGUGUGUUUCGACACACUAUCAUUAACUGAAUCCAUAGGUUAAUGAGGCGAACCGGGGGAACUGAAACAUCUAAGUACCCCGAGGAAAAGAAAUCAACCGAGAUUCCCCCAGUAGCGGCGAGCGAACGGGGAGCAGCCCAGAGCCUGAAUCAGUGUGUGUGUUAGUGGAAGCGUCUGGAAAGGCGCGCGAUACAGGGUGACAGCCCCGUACACAAAAAUGCACAUGCUGUGAGCUCGAUGAGUAGGGCGGGACACGUGGUAUCCUGUCUGAAUAUGGGGGGACCAUCCUCCAAGGCUAAAUACUCCUGACUGACCGAUAGUGAACCAGUACCGUGAGGGAAAGGCGAAAAGAACCCCGGCGAGGGGAGUGAAAAAGAACCUGAAACCGUGUACGUACAAGCAGUGGGAGCACGCUUAGGCGUGUGACUGCGUACCUUUUGUAUAAUGGGUCAGCGACUUAUAUUCUGUAGCAAGGUUAACCGAAUAGGGGAGCCGAAGGGAAACCGAGUCUUAACUGGGCGUUAAGUUGCAGGGUAUAGACCCGAAACCCGGUGAUCUAGCCAUGGGCAGGUUGAAGGUUGGGUAACACUAACUGGAGGACCGAACCGACUAAUGUUGAAAAAUUAGCGGAUGACUUGUGGCUGGGGGUGAAAGGCCAAUCAAACCGGGAGAUAGCUGGUUCUCCCCGAAAGCUAUUUAGGUAGCGCCUCGUGAACUCAUCUCCGGGGGUAGAGCACUGUUUCGGCAAGGGGGUCAUCCCGACUUACCAACCCGAUGCAAACUGCGAAUACCGGAGAAUGUUAUCACGGGAGACACACGGCGGGUGCUAACGUCCGUCGUGAAGAGGGAAACAACCCAGACCGCCAGCUAAGGUCCCAAAGUCAUGGUUAAGUGGGAAACGAUGUGGGAAGGCCCAGACAGCCAGGAUGUUGGCUUAGAAGCAGCCAUCAUUUAAAGAAAGCGUAAUAGCUCACUGGUCGAGUCGGCCUGCGCGGAAGAUGUAACGGGGCUAAACCAUGCACCGAAGCUGCGGCAGCGACACUAUGUGUUGUUGGGUAGGGGAGCGUUCUGUAAGCCUGCGAAGGUGUACUGUGAGGUAUGCUGGAGGUAUCAGAAGUGCGAAUGCUGACAUAAGUAACGAUAAAGCGGGUGAAAAGCCCGCUCGCCGGAAGACCAAGGGUUCCUGUCCAACGUUAAUCGGGGCAGGGUGAGUCGACCCCUAAGGCGAGGCCGAAAGGCGUAGUCGAUGGGAAACAGGUUAAUAUUCCUGUACUUGGUGUUACUGCGAAGGGGGGACGGAGAAGGCUAUGUUGGCCGGGCGACGGUUGUCCCGGUUUAAGCGUGUAGGCUGGUUUUCCAGGCAAAUCCGGAAAAUCAAGGCUGAGGCGUGAUGACGAGGCACUACGGUGCUGAAGCAACAAAUGCCCUGCUUCCAGGAAAAGCCUCUAAGCAUCAGGUAACAUCAAAUCGUACCCCAAACCGACACAGGUGGUCAGGUAGAGAAUACCAAGGCGCUUGAGAGAACUCGGGUGAAGGAACUAGGCAAAAUGGUGCCGUAACUUCGGGAGAAGGCACGCUGAUAUGUAGGUGAAGCGACUUGCUCGUGGAGCUGAAAUCAGUCGAAGAUACCAGCUGGCUGCAACUGUUUAUUAAAAACACAGCACUGUGCAAACACGAAAGUGGACGUAUACGGUGUGACGCCUGCCCGGUGCCGGAAGGUUAAUUGAUGGGGUCAGCGCAAGCGAAGCUCUUGAUCGAAGCCCCGGUAAACGGCGGCCGUAACUAUAACGGUCCUAAGGUAGCGAAAUUCCUUGUCGGGUAAGUUCCGACCUGCACGAAUGGCGUAAUGAUGGCCAGGCUGUCUCCACCCGAGACUCAGUGAAAUUGAACUCGCUGUGAAGAUGCAGUGUACCCGCGGCAAGACGGAAAGACCCCGUGAACCUUUACUAUAGCUUGACACUGAACAUUGAGCCUUGAUGUGUAGGAUAGGUGGGAGGCUUGGAAGUGUGGACGCCAGUCUGCAUGGAGCCGACCUUGAAAUACCACCCUUUAAUGUUUGAUGUUCUAACGUUGACCCGUAAUCCGGGUUGCGGACAGUGUCUGGUGGGUAGUUUGACUGGGGCGGUCUCCUCCUAAAGAGUAACGGAGGAGCACGAAGGUUGGCUAAUCCUGGUCGGACAUCAGGAGGUUAGUGCAAUGGCAUAAGCCAGCUUGACUGCGAGCGUGACGGCGCGAGCAGGUGCGAAAGCAGGUCAUAGUGAUCCGGUGGUUCUGAAUGGAAGGGCCAUCGCUCAACGGAUAAAAGGUACUCCGGGGAUAACAGGCUGAUACCGCCCAAGAGUUCAUAUCGACGGCGGUGUUUGGCACCUCGAUGUCGGCUCAUCACAUCCUGGGGCUGAAGUAGGUCCCAAGGGUAUGGCUGUUCGCCAUUUAAAGUGGUACGCGAGCUGGGUUUAGAACGUCGUGAGACAGUUCGGUCCCUAUCUGCCGUGGGCGCUGGAGAACUGAGGGGGGCUGCUCCUAGUACGAGAGGACCGGAGUGGACGCAUCACUGGUGUUCGGGUUGUCAUGCCAAUGGCACUGCCCGGUAGCUAAAUGCGGAAGAGAUAAGUGCUGAAAGCAUCUAAGCACGAAACUUGCCCCGAGAUGAGUUCUCCCUGACUCCUUGAGAGUCCUGAAGGAACGUUGAAGACGACGACGUUGAUAGGCCGGGUGUGUAAGCGCAGCGAUGCGUUGAGCUAACCGGUACUAAUGAACCGUGAGGCUUAACCUU
rnacentral:rRNA from 1 species